rnacentral:ncRNA from 1 species
CAUGAUGUACUAUACAUGAGCUUGAAACAUUGAGCUAAUAUUGAGUUAGAUUUUUUGGGGUAUUACACGACUGGGGGACAAACUGGGAAUGGUUCCUUUGGGGGCCUUCCCCGCGCGUCAAACAGUCAAUUCAAAACUGGUACGAAUAAGUGGAAUCUGACUAUUUAUUUCAAAUAAAUCAUUGCGAUGGUCCCUAUGGAUGUUCACGCAAUGUGAUUUCUGCCCGGUGGUCUGAAUGUCAAAGUGAAGAAAUUUAACCAAGCACGGGUAAACGGCGGGAGUAACUAUGAGUCUCUUAAUGUAGCCAAAUGCCUCAUUAUCUAAUUAUUAAAGUGCAAGAAUGGAUUACCAAGAUUUCCACUG